ACGACGGACGGGUGAGUAAUGCGUAGGAAGCUACCCGAUAGAGGGGGAUACCAGUUGGAAACGACUGUUAAUACCGCAUAAUGUCUACGGACCAAAGUGUGGGACCUUCGGGCCACAUGCUAUCGGAUGUGCCUACGUGGGAUUAGCUAGUUGGUGAGGUAAUGGCUCACCAAGGCGACGAUCCCUAGCUGGUUUGAGAGGAUGAUCAGCCACACUGGAACUGAGACACGGUCCAGACUCCUACGGGAGGCAGCAGUGGGGAAUAUUGGACAAUGGGCGCAAGCCUGAUCCAGCCAUGCCGCGUGUGUGAAGAAGGCCUUCGGGUUGUAAAGCACUUUCAGUAAGGAGGAAGCGUAGA
rnacentral:rRNA from 1 species